UCAAAAACAAUCCUUCUCAGGACUUUAUUAACCUGGACGAUCAUCAUUUACAAACAUAUGACAUAUAAGUGUAUUAUCAAAUCUAGUUCUGCAAACAAGGGAAAACAACGAGUUUGUUUUGGAUAUGGUUGAUAUGUAUAGAUGGGACAUUUUUCACAUUUCUUACUUUUAAAGGAAAAGAAUGAACCAAUUGAACAAUCUAUAAAGACGAUUAAUGAAAAUAAAACGUUGACUGACAAUUAAAAUUCUACAGUUGAUUUAUUUAUUGUAUUCAAUGUUUUUUGUUCCAUUAUGUAAGUUAACUAUGAACCAAAUAAAAAGUUAGAAAAUUUCCAAGAACAUAAAAACAACAAAAGUGACCAAGCAAAACCCUUCACACUCCAAGAAAACAGAUACUUACCAAAAGCACUGCUAGGAAUGGCCACCUUUGGUAUUGUGUCACAGCUUUCUGAAGCAAAAGCAAGAUUGUCGAUACCUACAGCGCUUUCUGUGUAUCCAUGCACGACAGCUUCAACGAUUAACUAUGAAGAAAAAUUCCUUGGUCACCACUUAAUGACCACAGUAGCACAUUGUAACUAUUGUGAAAAUAUUCUUGGAAGAUAUUUAAUAUCCCAUAAUAACUGCGAAAAGUAUAAUACGAAAAUGAAAAGCACACAAGAGAGUCGUUUCGAUAGUUUCCCACCAACAAAGCUUUGCCAGGUAAACUUGAUUCAGAAUGAAGAAAUCGUCCUGCAACACAAGAGAAAAUGUAAAAUAUAGUUACUGUGUAGACUAGAUAUAUAAAGAAUGCAUAUUUAUUGAUAAAUCAUUUAUUUAAGAUUGCUUGAUCAACCAUUAUAGUAAUGCUCGUAAAGAGAUCGAUUUAUGUUGUUCUAAACGCCUUGUACAGUAAGAUAAUUAAGAUUUUUGUGUAAUUGUUAAAUUUAUUUCACCAAUUUUUUAUUUGUAAAUUUAUGAAUAAAAAAAUAUAGUUGUUCAGGAGGGGCGGUUAUAUCACACCCAUCGGGGAGCCCUAUAAUUCUGAUGUCGUGGAAAAUGUGACAGUUUGUCAAGGGUGGGAAGAAAAUUAAGAAUUUCUAAUUUCGA